AGACUCUCCUGUGGCGUCGAGAUCCACUUCCACAUCUUUCGGAACGCAGAGACCCAGCCGUUGGAAAAAGACAGAGCGGAUGACAAAUUCGAAGAUGUCAGCUUUUCAGCCCGUCGUCGACAAGCACCACCGGAAAUCAUGGUUUCAUCUUGAUUACUUCAAACAGUACAUUCCGGAUGAGCUCUUUGACGCAAUGGCAAUGUCAAUGAACACUGGUCAUGUUCUUGAAACUGGUAAGAGCUUGAAUACCACGGCGGAUGAGCUGAAAACAUUUUUUGGAAUGUCAAUCACCAUGUCUUGUCUUGGAUACCCCCAAAUGCGAAGGUACUGGAGUACUAAAACCAGAGUGCCAGUUGUCGCAGACAAAAUGCCCA
rnacentral:lncRNA from 1 species